GUCGACGAACCAUCCUGUUGAUUGAAGCUUGCUUCUUGAUUCAGAUUUUGGUGAGUGGCGGACGGGUGAGUAACACGUGGGUAACCUGCCCAAAAGUGGGGGAUAACAUUUGGAAACAAGUGCUAAUACCGCAUAACAACUGCUUUCACAUGAUCGCAGCUUGAAAGAUGGCUCUGCUAUCGCUUUUGGAUGGACCCGCGGCGUAUUAGCUAGUUGGUGAGGUAAUAGCUCACCAAGGCAAUGAUACGUAGCCGACCUGAGAGGGUAAUCGGCCACAUUGGGACUGAGACACGGCCCAAACUCCUACGGGAGGCAGCAGUAGGGAAUCUUCCACAAUGGGCGAAAGCCUGAUGGAGCAAUGCCGCGUGAGUGAAGAAGGUUUUCGGAUCGUAAAACUCUGUUGUUGAAGAAGAACAUGCGUGAGAGUAACUGUUCACGUACUGACGGUAUUCAACCAGAAAGCCACGGCUAACUACGUGCCAGCAGCCGCGGUAAUACGUAGGUGGCAAGCGUUGUCCGGAUUUAUUGGGCGUAAAGAGAAUGUAGGCGGUUUAUUAAGUUUGAAGUGAAAGCCCUCGGCUCAACCGAGGAAGUGCUUCGAAAACUGGUAAACUUGAGUGCAGAAGAGGAAAGUGGAACUCCAUGUGUAGCGGUGGAAUGCGUAGAUAUAUGGAAGAACACCAGUGGCGAAGGCGGCUUUCUGGUCUGUAACUGACGCUGAGAUUCGAAAGCAU
rnacentral:rRNA from 1 species